CCCAGACUCCCUGUAUGAGGACCUGAAGAACUUCACCCGGAGCCUCCGUGCGUCCCUGAACAAAGGUGAAGAGAGACUGCCAUCAAAUAUACUGAUCUAGAUCCUGAGUCAACUGAGGGAGGAGUGUUGCCGCCGCUACAGGGGCUAUGGGUGUGGUGUCCCGGGUCGAGCACGGCUCGGUGGCAGCACUCCUGCCACACAGACCAAGACACACGCUCACACUAAUGU